rnacentral:lncRNA from 1 species
ACAGCUAACACUAAGCAGUUGAGAUUUGAAGAUGUAGUAAACCAGUCAAGUCCAAAAAACUGCACUGUGUACUGUGGGGGGAUCGCUUCGGGGCUGACAGAUCAACUUAUGAGACAAACAUUUUCACCAUUUGGACAAAUUAUGGAGAUAAGAGUUUUUCCAGAGAAGGGGUAUUCGUUUGUCAGAUUUUCAACUCAUGAAAGUGCAGCCCAUGCUAUUGUUUCUGUGAACGGUACUACAAUCGAAGGACAUGUGGUUAAAUGCUAUUGGGGUAAAGAAUCUCCUGAUAUGACUAAAAACUUCCAACAGGUUGACUACAGUCAGUGGGGCCAAUGGAGCCAAGUGUAUGGAAACCCACAACAGUACGGACAGUAUAUGGCAAAUGGGUGGCAAGUACCUCCCUAUGGAGUAUAUGGGCAGCCAUGGAACCAACAAGGAUUUGGAGUAGAUCAAUCACCUUCUGCUGCUUGGAUGGGUGGAUUUGGUGCUCAGCCUCCACAAGGACAAGCUCCGCC